GGGCCUAUAGUAAAAUGGUAUUACGCGUCCAUGGCAUGGACGAGGUGCGAGUUCGAUUCUCGCUAGGUCCA
rnacentral:tRNA from 7 species